ACAGCCAAGAAACUAUUCUGAGAAGUUCUCAGCAGUCAUGACUAACCCCAAAGCAAGAUUUCCAUUUUCCCCCCAAUGCCCUAAUUGAAUUUAGGGGUCGGUUAUGUUUUGCAUAGGCAUCUACCCCACAUCAAGGGCAGACAUUCAAAAAGAGUCUUAUGGAGUGGAUCAGAUAAAUAUGGGCUGCAAAUGUGCUGAUUUACCCCAGCUUGUAAAACAAAACAAUUUACGUAUACAAUUUAAACAUUCUUCCUAGUUUUUCACAAACCACAUCCCUUGGGUGUAUAAUUGAGAUUUCCUUGCCACCCAGAAGAUAGUGAGAUAGUCCGCCGGGCUUUGUUCCCCUUCUGCGGGAGGGCGGCUGGCGCUGUGAGCUGCUGCUUAGAAACGAGAGGCCGGCAGCUUUGGAUUCGCGGCUGUCAGAUGCUGGACCGGGCCGGCAACGCUAGAGUGCAGGCUGACAUAAGGAUUACGGAUGUGCUGCAGCCAGCCUGACGGAAAAGGCAGAAGCCUCUGCCAAUAGAGAUAUUAACUGAAUGCUGCAGGUGAUAUGGCUGCUGGGAAUGCAGGGGAAAAAUACUGAAAACUGCUGCCAUUUAUUGAGUGCCUAUUCUCUGCCUGGCUCCUGGAAUAAUGAUAACAAUAUUUAACAUAUAAUACAGCAUGAGCAUCAUCCCGUUGGAGUGGAUGCCAGCCGAAAACACAACUGAUUUAAUGACAUCACCUUGGCCAAGAUUCAGGAAUUCAGAACUCUAAGUUACCCUGAACUAUCUAAAAACGAAAAAGGAAAGAUAAUUCUGCUUCAUGUCUGGUGUACUCCAACUGCGGAUAAGGUGCCCUUCAGGGCCUUAAAGGACAGGAACAAAGUAUGGCGGUUUGUCAUCAGAGCUCCAGGAAGCCACGAGGAAACUGAGCUUAGGAACCAAAUUGCUCAAAAUGGGAAAGAAAUGAAGAAAUGUACAGCAGAUGCUCUCAGCCUGGAAGUGUAACCUUUGGGAAGAAGGAACCACCAGUCAUGCUAAUUGGUCUUGAACAAGGCUUGUUUGAGCUGAGAGAUGAGAGAGAGCACCCCAUUUCUUCCUGAUUCAGUUCUGUAGACAUCUUUCUGGGGUUUGCAAUUGAUAAUUAUAGACACAGAGAUACACUUGGCCUAAUUUGCCAGCCUAUUUGGAGUCAUGGGUGUCACCCUGUAUGUCUGGUAUAUGUGCAGAUGGUUUCUGGCGGCUUCAAUAAAAUCAGAAAACACAAAA